rnacentral:rRNA from 1 species
GCGGAUCUUCAUUAGCUUGCUUUUGAAGAUCAGCGGCGGACGGGUGAGUAACACGUGGGCAACCUGCCUGUAAGACUGGGAUAACUUCGGGAAACCGGAGCUAAUACCGGAUAAUCCUUUCCCUCACAUGAGGGAAAGCUGAAAGACGGUUUCGGCUGUCACUUACAGAUGGGCCCGCGGCGCAUUAGCUAGUUGGUGAGGUAACGGCUCACCAAGGCAACGAUGCGUAGCCGACCUGAGAGGGUGAUCGGCCACACUGGGACUGAGACACGGCCCAGACUCCUACGGGAGGCAGCAGUAGGGAAUCUUCCGCAAUGGACGAAAGUCUGACGGAGCAACGCCGCGUGAACGAUGAAGGCCUUCGGGUCGUAAAGUUCUGUUGUCAGAGAAGAACAAGUACCGGAGUAACUGCCGGUACCUUGACGGUACCUGACCAGAAAGCCACGGCUAACUACGUGCCAGCAGCCGCGGUAAUACGUAGGUGGCAAGCGUUGUCCGGAAUUAUUGGGCGUAAAGCGCGCGCAGGCGGUUCCUUAAGUCUGAUGUGAAAGCCCCCGGCUCAACCGGGGAGGGUCAUUGGAAACUGGGGAACUUGAGUGCAGAAGAGGAGAGCGGAAUUCCACGUGUAGCGGUGAAAUGCGUAGAGAUGUGGAGGAACACCAGUGGCGAAGGCGGCUCUCUGGUCUGUAACUGACGCUGAGGCGCGAAAGCGUGGGGAGCGAACAGGAU